UACGUAGGGUGCAAGCGUUGUCCGGAAUUAUUGGGCGUAAAGAGCUCGUAGGCGGUCUGUCGCGUCUGCUGUGAAAACCCGGGGCUCAACCCCGGGCCUGCAGUCGAUACGGGCAGGCUAGAGUCCGGCAGGGGAGACUGGAAUUCCUGGUGUAGCGGUGAAAUGCGCAGAUAUCAGGAGGAACACCGGUGGCGAAGGCGGUGGUCUGGGCCAGUACUGACGCUGAGGAGCGAAAGCGUGGGGAGCGAACAGG
rnacentral:rRNA from 1 species